rnacentral:rRNA from 1 species
GGGUUGUGAGGUUAAGCGACUAAGCGUACACGGUGGAUGCCCUGGCAGUCAGAGGCGAUGAAGGACGUGCUAAUCUGCGAUAAGCGCCGGUAAGGUGAUAUGAACCGUUAUAACCGGCGAUUUCCGAAUGGGGAAACCCAGUGUGACUCGUCACACUAUCAUUAACUGAAUCCAUAGGUUAAUGAGGCGAACCGGGGGAACUGAAACAUCUAAGUACCCCGAGGAAAAGAAAUCAACCGAGAUUCCCCCAGUAGCGGCGAGCGAACGGGGAGGAGCCCAGAGCCUGAAUCAGCAUGUGUGUUAGUGGAAGCGUCUGGAAAGGCGCGCGAUACAGGGUGACAGCCCCGUACACAAAAGCGCAUGUGCUGUGAGCUCGAUGAGUAGGGCGGGACACGUGGUAUCCUGUCUGAAUAUGGGGGGACCAUCCUCCAAGGCUAAAUACUCCUGACUGACCGAUAGUGAACCAGUACCGUGAGGGAAAGGCGAAAAGAACCCCGGCGAGGGGAGUGAAAAAGAACCUGAAACCGUGUACGUACAAGCAGUGGGAGCACCCUUUGGGGUGUGACUGCGUACCUUUUGUAUAAUGGGUCAGCGACUUAUAUUCUGUAGCA